AGUGAACGCUGGCGGUAGGCCUAACACAUGCAAGUCGAACGGCAGCACAGUAAGAGCUUGCUCUUACGGGUGGCGAGUGGCGGACGGGGGGGGAAUACAUCGGAAUCUACUUUUUCGUGGGGGAUAACGUAGGGAAACUUACGCUAAUACCGCAUACGACCUACGGGUGAAAGCAGGGGAUCUUCGGACCUUGCGCGAUUGAAUGAGCCGAUGUCGGAUUAGCUAGUUGGCGGGGUAAAGGCCCACCAAGGCGACGAUCCGUAGCUGGUCUGAGAGGAUGAUCAGCCACACUGGAACUGAGACACGGUCCAGACUCCUACGGGAGGCAGCAGUGGGGAAUAUUGGACAAUGGGCGCAAGCCUGAUCCAGCCAUACCGCGUGGGUGAAGAAGGCCUUCGGGUUGUAAAGCCCUUUUGUUGGGAAAGAAAAGCAGCAGGUUAAUACCCCGCUGUUCUGACGGUACCCAAAGAAUAAGCACCGGCUAACUUCGUG
rnacentral:rRNA from 1 species